GACGAACGCUGGCGGCGAGCUUAACACAUGCAAGUCGAACGGAAAGGCCCUGCUUUUGUGGGGUGCUCGAGUGGCGAACGGGUGAGUAACACGUGAGUAACCUGCCCUUGACUUUGGGAUAACUUCAGGAAACUGGGGCUAAUACCGGAUAGGAGCUCCUGCUGCAUGGUGGGGGUUGGAAAGUUUCGGCGGUUGGGGAUGGACUCGCGGCUUAUCAGCUUGUUGGUGGGGUAGUGGCUUACCAAGGCUUUGACGGGUAGCCGGCCUGAGAGGGUGACCGGCCACAUUGGGACUGAGAUACGGACCAGACGCCUACGGGAGGCAGCAGUGGGGAAUAUUGCACAAUGGGCGGAAGCCUGAUGCAGCAACGCCGCGUGCGGGAUGACGGCCUGCGGGGUGUAAACCGCUUUCGCCUGUGACGAAGCGUGAGUGACGGUAAUGGGUAAAGAAGCACCGGCUAACUACGUG
rnacentral:rRNA from 1 species